AACUUUCCCGUUAGUUGAUGCGCAUGGUGGCGCAGUGGGCGAGAGUUGGUGGUUUUCCGUAGCAGAGACGUUAGAGGGGAGGAAGGUUCUGGAAGCGCCGGCGGCCGUUGGGCUGGUGCGCAGCACAGGGAGGCGGGGGUACACGCUGCGGCAACAGCGCAAGCGGAGGCGAGUCCUAGAGCCGCCUGACAGACCGUUUAACCGAGCUCCCGUUACGCUAGCGAGCCGCGUGCGCCCUAGGGGUGACCAUGGAGGGCAGUAAGCGAGCCGGGUCUCUCUCUGGCCCUGCGAAACGCCGGGAUCAGGCCGGGGAGGCACAGAUGAGAGAAAAGGAGCAGUUUCGCAAACUGUUCAUUGGUGGCUUGAGCUUUGAAACAACAGAAGAAAGUUUGAGAAACUACUAUGAGCAAUGGGGGAAACUUACAGACUGUGUGGUGAUGAGGGAUCCUGCAAGCAAACGAUCGAGAGGAUUUGGUUUUGUAACAUUCUCCUCCAUGGCCGAAGUUGAUGCAGCCAUGGCUGCAAGACCUCACUCAAUUGAUGGAAGGGUAGUUGAGCCAAAACGAGCAGUAGCCAGAGAGGAAUCUGGAAAACCUGGUGCUCAUGUUACUGUGAAAAAGCUGUUUGUUGGUGGAAUUAAGGAAGAUACUGAGGAACACCACCUUCGAGACUACUUUGAGGAAUAUGGGAAAAUUGACACUAUUGAAAUAAUUACAGAUAGACAAUCUGGUAAAAAGAGAGGUUUUGGCUUUGUUACGUUUGAUGACCAUGAUCCUGUGGAUAAAAUUGUAUUGCAGAAAUACCACACCAUCAAUGGCCAUAAUGCAGAAGUAAGAAAAGCUUUAUCUAGACAAGAAAUGCAAGAAGUUCAAAGUUCUAGGAGUGGAAGAGGAGGUAACUUCGGCUUUGGGGAUUCGCGUGGAGGUGGUGGCAACUUUGGUCCAGGACCAGGAAGCAACUUCAGAGGUGGAUCUGAUGGAUAUGGAAGUGGUCGUGGAUUUGGUGAUGGAUACAAUGGAUAUGGUGGAGGACCAGGAGGUGGCAAUUUUGGAGGUAGUCCUGGUUAUGGAGGAGGAAGAGGAGGAUAUGGUGGUGGAGGACCUGGAUAUGGCAACCAGGGUGGGGGCUACGGAGGUGGUUAUGACAACUAUGGAGGAGGCAAUUAUGGAAGUGGAAACUACAAUGAUUUUGGAAACUAUAACCAACAGCCCUCAAACUAUGGUCCAAUGAAGAGUGGAAAUUUUGGUGGUAGCAGGAACAUGGGGGGACCAUAUGGUGGAGGAAACUAUGGUCCAGGAGGCAGUGGAGGAAGUGGUGGAUAUGGAGGGAGGAGCCGUUACUGAGCUUCUACAAACUUGCCAUGGGAGAAACACCUUUUUAGAUCUUUUAGAUGCUGCUUCUUCAAUGGCAAGGAAAGGAAAUAUCCCCAGCGAGGUACUCUUCCAGGGACACAGGUCUAGUACAAGAGAACUCUUGAAAACGGCACUAAGUUCAGCCAGUCUUAAAAAGCUGCGCUGUAUUUCUGCAAAGCUUUAACUACCGUAGUUUUAUAAGGAUGCCAACGAAGGCUGAGGGUGUAGAGCAAAAUAGUUCUAAGCUUCAGUUAAACUUCUUUAGCUACUUAACAUAUUUUUUUCCUACUGGAAUCUAGCUUUGAUAUGAGCCAUCGACAAGCAUAGACUGCUGCUACUGUACACUGCUACAGUUGAACAAAUGAGACCUGCAAGUGUCCAUUAGUAAAGUUUUGCAAGGGUUCCAUACCUGGUGUUGGUAGUUUAAAAUGGAAGGUGCCAUGCUGCAGGUAACAAAUGAAGAAGUGGUCAACCACAGACAUGCUUCAAGAAAUAAGAAAUUCUGAAUCAUCAGAAAAUAAUUGCUUUUUCUGGCUUCAUUAAAAAUCUAUAGGUUAAAUGAAUCCUGAAAAUAAAACAUCUCCGUUAGUACAGCGUCCUGUAAUGCUGGGGUUUUUAAAAAUAUAAAAUGAUAGUAAUAAAUGUCUGUAAAUAUCUUGAAUAAAAUUCAGGCGGGCUAGGAAAAGCAGACCACUAAUGUUAUGAAAUAGCAAAUGUUCUGUGAAUAGAAACAUUAAAUAUAUAUUUUUAAAAUAAUUUUCAUAGCUUUAAAAUAAAAAUAUUUUAUACCAAA